AUACAGGGAGUGCGAGCGUUAAUCGGAAUUACUGGGCGUAAAGAGUACGUAGGCGGUUGCUUAAGUCAGAUGUGAAAGCCCCGGGCUCAACCUGGGAACUGCAUUUGAAACUGAGUGACUAGAGUUUAAGAGAGGGGAGUAGAAUUCCGGGUGUAGCGGUGAAAUGCGUAGAGAUCCGGAGGAAUACCAGUGGCGAAGGCGGCUCCCUGGCUUAAAACUGACGCUGAGGUACGAAAGCGUGCGUAGCAAACAGGAUUAGAAACCCCAGUAGUCC
rnacentral:rRNA from 1 species